CCAGCAGCCGCGGUAAUUCCAGCUCCAAUAGCGUAUAUUUAAGUUGUUGCAGUUAAAAAGCUCGUAGUUGGAUUUCGGGUGGGAUGGUGCGGUCCGUCUCUGAUGUGUACUGUUCCGUCUCACCUUCCUGCCGGGGACGGGCUCCUGGGCUUCACUGUCUGGGACUCGGAGUCGGCGAGGUUACUUUGAGUAAAUUAGAGUGUUCAAAGCAGGCCUACGCUCUGAAUACAUUAGCAUGGAAUAACACGAUAGGACUCUGGCUUAUCUGUUGGUCUGUGAGACUGGAGUAAUGAUUAAGAGGGGUAGUCGGGGGCAUUCGUAUUCCGUUGUCAGAGGUGAAAUUCUUGGAUUUACGGAAGACGAACAUCUGCGAAAGCAUUUGCCAAGGAUACUUUCAUUGAUCAAGAACGAAAGU
rnacentral:rRNA from 1 species